CGACCGCUGGCGGCGUGCUUAACACAUGCACGUCGAACGGAAAGGCCCUGCUUGCAGGGUCCUCGAGUGGCGAACGGGUGCGUAACACGUGGGUGAUCUGCCCUGCACUUCGGGAUAAGCCUGGGAAACUGGGUCUAAUACCGGAUAGGAGCCAUUUUUAGUGUGAUGGUUGGAAAGUUUUUUCGGUGUAGGAUGAGCUCGCGGCCUAUCAGCUUGUUGGUGGGGUAAUGGCCUACCAAGGCGGCGACGGGUAGCCGGCCUGAGAGGGUGGACGGCCACAUUGGGACUGAGAUACGGCCCAGACUCCUACGGGAGGCAGCAGUGGGGAAUAUUGCACAAUGGGCGCAAGCCUGAUGCAGCGACGCCGCGUGGGGGAUGACGGCCUUCGGGUUGUAAACUCCUUUCGCUAGGGACGAAGCUUUUUGUGACGGUACCUAGAUAAGAAGCACCGGCUAACUACGUG
rnacentral:rRNA from 1 species